rnacentral:rRNA from 1 species
GCGUCGUCUUCAGAGUUUGAUCCUGGCUCAGGAUGAACGCUGGCGGCGUGCUUAACACAUGCAAGUCGAACGGAGUUAACCUCUGUCAAAGCUUCGGCAGAGACUUGGUUAACUUAGUGGCGGACGGGUGAGUAACGCGUGGGUAACCUGCCUCACACAGGGGGAUAACACUUAGAAAUAGGUGCUAAUACCGCAUAAGCGCACAGUACCGCAUGGUACCGUGUGAAAAACUCCGGUGGUGUGAGAUGGACCCGCGUCUGAUUAGCUAGUUGGUGAGGUAACGGCCCACCAAGGCGACGAUCAGUAGCCGGCCUGAGAGGGUGAACGGCCACAUUGGGACUGAGACACGGCCCAA